AGGCCCUCUCGACGUCGGCCUGCGGGGAGCGAUGCCGACAAGUAGGAGCGGUCCGGCUUCGGAAAGGGCCCACCCUCAGGAAUGGUCCGGCCAGGCCUAGCGAGGAUGUCCCUACCGCGAUGCUGGUUCCGUUUCCCAGGGUGGGCAGGCGCGGAAGCGAGGCGGGGAAGAGCGAUAGUUUCGCGGCGUUUGCCCAGCCUCAGCCCCUGGGAUGCGGGUGAGAGACAUGGAGGACUGGUCAGACUUUGCGCUUCCCUGGGGCCGCUCACACAGCACAAAAGGCUCCCAGCCGGCUUCCCGCAAUGUCCUCACCUGUGCCUGGCAGCCGACCCCCCCCACCUGGACCCGCAGCGCCGCCAGGAGAAGUCCUGCGCAGCGCUGGGAAACGACAAGAGACGGCAGACCGAUAGGCAGCGACAGCGACAGCAACCGCCCCACUGCCGCCGGGGAAUUCCAGGCCCCAGCCCUUCCGAAUCCGCUACGGGUGCUGCAAGGCCUGGGAAGAGUUUCGAUGUCUCUAGGGUGGCUAGAGCGUCCUCGCGCGCUCCGUCGCGCUGCAGGUGACGGCGCCCGGAGGCUGUCGGGAAGUAGGCGGGGUGACGUGUGGUGGACGAGCUCGGCGGCGGGUUUGCUGAGAUCUGUGGCUGGCCGCAGCUGGUGCGGGGGGCGGCCAAGAGCGAGAGGUGGAUCGGGGCGGUGUGUGGCCGGGGCCAUGACGGGCAAUGCUGGGGAGUGGUGCCUCAUGGAAAGCGACCCCGGGGUCUUCACCGAGCUCAUUAAAGGAUUCGGUUGCCGAGGAGCCCAAGUAGAAGAAAUAUGGAGUUUAGAGCCUGAGAAUUUUGAAAAAUUAAAGCCAGUUCAUGGGUUAAUUUUUCUUUUCAAGUGGCAGCCAGGAGAAGAACCAGCAGGCUCUGUGGUUCAGGACUCCCGACUUGACACGAUAUUUUUUGCUAAGCAGGUAAUUAAUAAUGCUUGUGCUACUCAAGCCAUAGUGAGUGUUUUACUGAACUGUACCCACCAGGAUGUCCAUUUAGGCGAGACAUUAUCGGAGUUUAAAGAAUUUUCACAAAGUUUUGAUGCAGCUAUGAAAGGCUUGGCACUGAGCAAUUCAGAUGUGAUUCGACAAGUACACAACAGUUUCGCCAGACAGCAAAUGUUUGAAUUUGAUACGAAGACAUCAGCAAAAGAAGAAGAUGCUUUUCAUUUUGUCAGUUAUGUUCCUGUUAAUGGAAGACUGUAUGAAUUAGAUGGAUUAAGAGAAGGACCGAUUGAUUUAGGUGCAUGCAAUCAAGAUGAUUGGAUCAGUGCAGUAAGGCCUGUCAUAGAAAAAAGGAUACAAAAAGACGGGUUUUCACCAUGUUGCCCAGGCUGGUCUCAGACUCCUGAGCUCAAGCCAUCCGCAUGCCUCGACCUCCCAAAGUGGUACAGUGAAGGUGAAAUUCGAUUUAAUUUAAUGGCCAUUGUGUCUGACAGAAAAAUGAUAUAUGAACAGAAGAUAGCAGAGUUACAAAGACAACUUGCAGAGGAGGAACCCAUGGAUACAGAUCAAGGUAAUAGUAUGUUAAGUGCUAUUCAGUCAGAAGUUGCCAAAAAUCAGAUGCUUAUUGAAGAAGAAGUACAGAAAUUAAAAAGAUACAAGAUUGAGAAUAUCAGAAGGAAGCAUAAUUAUCUGCCUUUCAUUAUGGAAUUGUUAAAGACUUUAGCAGAACACCAGCAGUUAAUACCACUAGUAGAAAAGUUUGAGAAACACUGAGAAGACACUACUAGGCAAAUAAAAUUUUGGACCAUUAACUUAAAGACGAGCAUACAUGGCAAAAGAAAAACAGAACGCAAAGAAAGCUCAGGAAACCAAAUGAAGAGGAUGUUUUGGGAUGUGUACACAUUUCUGCUUCUGCACAUAUUUUCAUGGAAAUCAUUAUGUAUAAAGAACUUUGAGCAACAUCCUAAUUGGCUCAGUGCACGUUUGGCGGUAGUGCCAGCCUGUCUUGUCUUUAAUGCAUGGAUUCAUAAACUUCUUCCCUACCUGCAUCAUGUGCAUGUAGUGCAUAUUAAAUGAAAGCGAUAUUAAGAGUGCUUGCCCAAAUUCCAUUAUUUGACAUUGAAUCUGAGAACUCUUAGUUUUCUGGAUGUGUAACUACCAUAUGAACCUAGAAAAUUCACAAAUGAUACUCCUUAUCUGUAAUUUAAAUCCUUAAAAUUUGCAAUUGUCAGAUCUUAAUGAAACUGGAUGUCUUAUUUCUUCUCAUCAUUAAUGGAAAAAAAAUCAGUAUUUCUAUCUUUGAUAUCUGAGUGUUUUGAGGAUUUUAAAACUGAAUUUUAUCUGCUAUACCAGUUAUUUGAAAAAGUAUGAUUUAAAUGUAAAUCAUUUAAAAGGGACAAAAGUAUAAUUUCCAGUGAUUUUCACUGCUGUCAGUAGAAAAGUAAUAAACAUCUCAAUUUUAUUUUAGUAAUUUUUCUUCAAGUGUUUGGGGUUAUUUGCUUAUGUAGUAGAGAAUUGUUUCAGGAAGGUCUUGAGUAUUAUGCUUCAAAGCAAAAUUUCAGGUUAAGAAGAAAUUGUAAAUCUUAAAGAAUGUUGGUGUUACUCUCAGUGGAAUACUUUUUCAAGCUCAUAAGCUGUAUAUAAAAAAAUUGGAGGUUUGACAGUUCAUGCUAUCUGCUUUUUUGAAAAGAUAGUAGUGGUGAUGGGGGAUCUUUCUAGGCCAAUUUGAAUAAAUUUCAUACAGCCUGCAGUUUCCAAGAGCCAUAUACAAUUUGCUCACAAUUAAUUUUUUAAAAUUGAUUUUGGGAGUUGCUUUGUAAUAAUCUUCUUAAUCUUCCUUUGCAAGUCAGACUUUAAAGAAGACUUUAUAAAACUUUCUUUUUUGAAUGAAGUAAUCUACUUUUUUCUUUAUCAAGAAUAUUUCUGAGGUUGAUACAUGACUUUUUAACAUUAUUUAUUGUAAAAUAAAUUUAGCAUAAUUUAUUUGAUUAGGGAGAAUGUGUACCCAUCUUCCAGUUUCAGCACAUGAAUUUUUAAGGAUUGUUUUUAAGCUUAGUAAUUGUGGUAUUGAAUGACUUAGAAUAAUGGAGAAAAACCUGAUGGGAAAUUGAUAGAAAAACUAAUGAAAUAUUUUUCAUACAUAAUUUCAGUUGGAGGUAAUGAAAAAUGUAGUUUCUCAGUUAUUUGUGGGUAAAUAUGUUUUGCUCUUGAUACAGUAAUUAUGGAGUGUUUUCAAAGCCAUGAUAUAAUUUUUAAAAAUGGAUUUUUAAGGAAGGCUCAUCUUGAUCCCAUUCAUUUAUUUCAGCUUAAUUUAUAUAUCCUUUCCUAUUGAGGCUUAAAUUUUGUUAAGCAAUGUGAGGAUUAUUGUGGUAAGUUGUAUUUAGUAAUCAAUACAAUGUGAUACUAGCACUAGGAUUGCCAAAUAAAUCAAUGGAAUAGAAGAGAGAGCCUGAAAACAGAUCAACAUUUAUAUGAUCACUUGAUUUCAACAAAGGUGGCAAAACAAUUCAACAGAGAAGGAAAGUCUUUUCAACAAAUGGAGCCAGAAUAGCUGAAUAUCCAUAUAGAAAAAAAUGAACAUGACCCCCUACCUCACAAAAAUGACUUUGAGAUGGAUCAUAGACCUAAAUGUAAUAUUUUAAGAGUAUGAAGCUUUUUAACUGAAAACAUGGUUGAUUAUUUUAGUGACUUGGGGGGUUAGUCAAAGGUUUCUUAGGUCACAGAAAGCAGUAGCCAUAAAAGAUCCAAAAUUAGAGCUCAUCAAAAUUGUCACUGCAAAUGUUAACAAAAGUAAUAUCAAAUGACAUUUGAAAAAUAUCUUUGUAAAACGACCAUGUUAAUAGAUAUAAGGAUUUUUUCAUAUUAAUCUAACAAAAUUCCUUAAUAGGAAUUUCCAUAGCUUAAGAAUGGUUUAUUUUAUCUGCAUCUUCUUGGAUGAUUGCAAAUCCCUUGUGAUACUUCAUGAUUACUUCUGUCUGUGAAUAAAGAAGUAUGACUUGUC